CUCGUAGGCGGUUCGUCGCGUCCGGUGUGAAAGUCCAUCGCUUAACGGUGGAUCUGCGCCGGGUACGGGCGGGCUGGAGUGCGGUAGGGGAGACUGGAAUUCCCGGUGUAACGGUGGAAUGUGUAGAUAUCGGGAAGAACACCAAUGGCGAAGGCAGGUUUCUGGGCCGUUACUGACGCUGAGGAGCGAAAGCGUGGGGAGCGAACA
rnacentral:rRNA from 1 species